rnacentral:lncRNA from 1 species
CAGCCACUCACCUUCCAGGAAGCGUGGAUUCCUGGAAGUGAGGGGAACCGCCGUCAUUUCGCAGGCAGCAGCAGCGGCACGAAGGGAAUGAUCUGUACCUUUAAAAAGAGAAAAGGGGAGAAAAGAUGGAUUUUCUGAAUCACAUUCUGUGAGGAAUUCAAAUCUCUUGGAAGAACAGGAGAGAUACCCUUUUCAUCAAGUGGCCUGAUGAGGGAAGGUCACCUGGCGUGGAGCAGAAGAACUAUGAUGGCCUGUGGAGGCCCGCAGUGUGCUUCGGGAGGGCUGCAUGCUGCAGCCUUUCCCUCUGCUUCCAUAUGACUCUUCCAGGAGAGAUGGGUCAGUGAUGAGCGCAGCUAUGCCCAGUCCUAAGAGGGGUACUUUUCAGGGCUAAUGGUAGCCUUACUUUGACUUUCUCUUUUCCCUUUCUAAGGUAGCUGCUGACAUCUAAAAUUCUCAAAGUACAGAGGAGGAGUUCCUGGCCUCCACUUCCAUUCAAAAACCAUCCUGUGCAGAGGCCACUUCUUAUCUAGGACAUGCCAAUCUGCUGAAAGCAGGGAAAACUUGGUUUCAUAGCACGGUGAAGCAAAUCACCUCCAUGAGUAUCCAAUAUUCUCCAUAAACAGGUUUGAAAAGA